rnacentral:rRNA from 1 species
GAUGAACGCUGGCGGCGUGCCUAAUACAUGCAAGUCGAGCGAACAGAUGAGGAGCUUGCUCCUCUGACGUUAGCGGCGGACGGGUGAGUAACACGUGGAUAACCUACCUAUAAGACUGGGAUAACUUCGGGAAACCGGAGCUAAUACCGGAUAAUAUAUUGAACCGCAUGGUUCAAUAGUGAAAGACGGUUUUGCUGCCACUUAUAGAUGGAUCCGCGCCGCAUUAGCUAGUUGGUAAGGUAACGGCUUACCAAGGCAACGAUGCGUAGCCGACCUGAGAGGGUGAUCGGCCACACUGGAACUGAGACACGGUCCAGACUCCUACGGGAGGCAGCAGUAGGGAAUCUUCCGCAAUGGGCGAAAGCCUGACGGAGCAACGCCGCGUGAGUGAUGAAGGUCUUCGGAUCGUAAAACUCUGUUAUUAGGGAAGAACAAAUGUGUAAGUAACUAUGCACGUCUUGACGGUACCUAAUCAGAAAGCCACGGCUAACUACGUG